rnacentral:sRNA from 1 species
CCGUGACCAUUUUGGCUCAAG